CGUCCGGGUACGCAUCUCGUCUUCUGAAAUUUCCUCGCCUCUUUCAUGGAAACAUAUUGGGGCAGCGUUCGCCAGCUGUCUGCUUCCUUCGCCUUCUGCUGCCAUUAUCCUCAGGCACCACCCCACCUUAUGGCUGCCCAGCCUGCCAGGAAUGAGAGAGAGAGAGAGAGAGAGAGAGGAAGGAGGAGGGACAGAAAUAGGGAUAGUGAGAGAGGGGCCUUCCAAAAUCAAAAGGAUCAUUUGCAGCUAAAGGAGAGAGAAAACAAGUGAGUUGACAACCAGCCAACCUCAUCCCACCAAUCCUUACUGGAUCUUUGCCAGUAAAAUCCAGCCCUUGGCAACCCACCCAGUUUACCAACCCUAAAAGUAGGCAGGCUCCUGACCUGGAUAAGAGCCCUAUUUUAAGCUCCAGGCCUGACAUCUCCAGUGAUGCUCAGUCACACAGGAUCUUGUUACUGCUCUGACAAGUUCACGCCAGCUACUGAUCUGCAUGGCUGGAGGUGCUGAGAUCUCAAGGUCUUUCCAGGAGAGCAGGCGAGGACUCGCAGUCAGCUGAUGAUCUGUAGCUAGUGGCGGUCAGGUGUGAGGCCUUUGGAGAAGGGGGUGAUGAAGGGAACAGGCAUUACUGUGACAACUUUGUAGUGUCAGCAGUCGUUACGAGAAAACUAGCCUACAGAGAAGUUCAGCAUGAGGACUGACACAGCUAGGGACCUAGAAAGAAUCAUUUAUUAGUUAGCACUAGAACUGUUUAUGCAUUAGUGUUAGCACUAGAAUCAUUUUUUAGUUAGUGUUAGCACAAACAUUUUUAUGUGUUUAGUGUUAGCACUAGAAUCGUUUAUGUUUUAGCAUUAGCACUAGAAUUACUUAUGUGUUAGUGUUAGCAUGAGAGCAGUUUAUGUAUUAUUUUUAGUACUAGAAUAUUUGAUGUAUUAGUAUUAGUACUCAAAUCAUUUAUGUAUUAGUAUUAGCACUUUUAUUGCCUGGAAAUAUAACAGACCUGUGCUUAUGUAGUUAUAUGAAUCAUAUAAUUUGAUUGUCUAGCAAUUAGAAUUUUAUUCAACUUCAGUCAUUGUCCAUUGUUUGUGUAAAGCUGCUUUGAGACAAUGACCUUUGUAAA